rnacentral:rRNA from 1 species
GCGGAUGGGUGAGUAACACGUGGGUAACCUGCCCUAAAGUCUGGGAUACCACUUGGAAACAGGUGCUAAUACCGGAUAACAACAAUAGCUGCAUGGCUAUUGCUUAAAAGGCGGCGAAAGCUGUCGCUAAAGGAUGGACCCGCGGUGCAUUAGCUAGUUGGUAAGGUAACGGCUUACCAAGGCGACGAUGCAUAGCCGAGUUGAGAGACUGAUCGGCCACAUUGGGACUGAGACACGGCCCAAACUCCUACGGGAGGCAGCAGUAGGGAAUCUUCCACAAUGGGCGAAAGCCUGAUGGAGCAACGCCGCGUGAGUGAAGAAGGUUUUCGGAUCGUAAAGCUCUGUUGUUGGUGAAGAAGGAUAGAGGUAGUAACUGGCCCCUAUUUGACGGUAAUCAACCAGAAAGUCACGGCUAACUACGUGCCAGCAGCCGCGGUAAUACGUAGGUGGCAAGCGUUGUCCGGAUUUAUUGGGCGUAAAGCGAGCGCAGGCGGAAAGAUAAGUCUGAUGUGAAAGCCCCCGGCUUAACCGAGGAAUUGCAUCGGAAACUG